rnacentral:rRNA from 1 species
AAUAGAUACCCCGGUAGUCCUAGCCGUAAACGAUGAGCACUAGGUCGAGGGGACUUCCACAUCUUCUCGGCCGUAGCGAAAGCAUUAAGUGCUCCGCCUGGGGAGUAUGGCCGCAAGGCUGAAACUCAAAGGAAUUGACGGGGGGCUCACACAAGCGGUAGAGGAUGUGGCUUAAUUCGAGGCUACGCGAAGAACCUUAUCCUAGACUUGACAUGCUUAAGAAUCUUCUGGAAACAGAGGAGUGCCCUUCGGGGAGCUUUUGCACAGGUGCUGCAUGGCUGUCGUCAGCUCGUGUCGUGAGAUGUUGGGUUAAGUCCCUUAACGAGCGAAACCCCUAUCUUUAGUUGCCAGCGGGUUAAUGCCGGGGUACUCUAAAGAGACUGCCGGUGUCAAACCGGAGGAAGGUGGGGAUGACGUCAAGUCCUCAUGGCCCUUAUGUUUAGGGCUGCACACGUCCUACAAUGGUACGUACAAAGGGAAGCCAAGCCGCGAGGCCGAGCUAAUCCCAAAACGCGUGCCUCAGUUCGGAUUGUAGGCUGC